CAGUAGCCGCGGUAAUACGUAGGGUGCAAGCGUUAUCCGGAAUUAUUGGGCGUAAAGGGCGUGUAGGCGGCCUGGGGCGUCCCAUGUGAAAAGCCACGGCUCAACCGUGGAGGAGCGUGGGAUACGCUCAGGCUAGAGGGUGGGAGAGGGUGGUGGAAUUCCCGGAGUAGCGGUGAAAUGCGCAGAUACCGGGAGGAACGCCGAUGGCGAAGGCAGCCACCUGGUCCACUUCUGACGCUGAGGCGCGAAAGCGUGGGGAGCCAACCGGAUUAGAUACCCGCGUAGUCCCUGUCUCUUAUAC
rnacentral:rRNA from 1 species